UACCAGACUCCUACGGGAGGCAGCAGUGGGGAAUAUUGCACAAUGGGGGAAACCCUGAUGCAGCGACGCCGCGUGAGCGAAGAAGUAUUUCGGUAUGUAAAGCUCUAUCAGCAGGGAAGAAAAAAAUGACGGUACCUGAGUAAGAAGCACCGGCUAAAUACGUGCCAGCAGCCGCGGUAAUACGUAUGGUGCAAGCGUUAUCCGGAUUUACUGGGUGUAAAGGGAGCGUAGGCGGCGCGUUAAGUCUGAUGUGAAAACCCGAGGCUCAACCACGGGAGUGCAUUGGGAACUGGCGCGCUGGAGUGCCGGAGGGGUAGGCGGAAUUCCUAGUGUAGCGGUGAAAUGCGUAGAUAUUAGGAGGAACACCAGUGGCGAAGGCGGCCUACUGGACGAUGACUGACGCUGAGGCUCGAAAGCGUGGGGAGCAAACAGGAUUAGAUACCCGAGUA
rnacentral:rRNA from 1 species